rnacentral:rRNA from 1 species
CCUAUGGGAGACAGCAGUGAGGAAUAUUGGUCAAUGGGCGCGAGCCUGAACCAGCCAAGUAGCGUGAAGGAUGACUGCCCUACGGGUUGUAAACUUCUUUUAUAAAGGAAUAAAGUGAGGCACGUGUGCCUUUUUGUAUGUACUUUAUGAAUAAGGAUCGGCUAACUCCGUGCCAGCAGCCGCGGUAAUACGGAGGAUCCGAGCGUUAUCCGGAUUUAUUGGGUUUAAAGGGAGCGUAGAUGGGUUGUUAAGUCAGUUGUGAAAGUUUGCGGCUCAACCGUAAAAUUGCAAUUGAUACUGGCAGUCUUGAGUACAGUUGAGGUAGGCGGAAUUCGUGGUGUAGCGGUGAAAUGCUUAGAUAUCACGAAGAACUCCGAUUGCGAAGGCAGCUUACUAAACUGCCACUGACAUUGAUGCUCGAAAGUGUGGGUAUCAAACAGGAUUAGAUACCCGUGUAGUC